rnacentral:tRNA from 1 species
AAGGACUUAAGUUAAACAAACUAUUAACCUUCAAAGUUGAAAUUAAAAUGGGAUUUUAGGCCUUA